rnacentral:tRNA from 1 species
GCCCGCUUGGCACAGCGGUAAUGCGCCUCACUAGUAUUUAUUAAAUAUUAUUUAGGAAGCUAUGAGGAGAUGACUGGUUCGACUCCAGUAGUGGGCA